CAAGAGAUAGCUUAAUCUUAACCAAAGCACUCGGCUUACAACCGAGAAAUGUAGUAACACUACUCCCUUGA
rnacentral:tRNA from 1 species